GUGAUUGUUGCAAAUACAUCUAUGAGUACCAUGUACCAUACCAUAUGAUAUAGUGAUAAUAUAUAUGGUAAAAUGUAUGCAUACAAGUAAAGCCUAGAAAGCAAGUAUACCUACAAGUAUGCAACAGUCUGAUGAUGUGCAGUCUCUCCGGCACUUUCCUCCGAGGACAAUUAAUUAAAUUAAAUUAAUUAUAUUUUAGGUUUUAUAAUUGGAAUUUGGAAUGCUGGGUGUAUUGGGCUGUAUUUGACUGUACACAUGCCACCCCAUUGUAAAUUAAGAAGAGAUAUUACUGUAGAAAACAAUACCAUUCAUUAAAUAUAUAAUUGGUUAGUAAUGCUGACAUGGAGAUUAUAAGUGUGGAUGCCAACUGGAACUGGAGCUACUCAUGACAUUUGGGCAAACCAGAGGCAUUAAGCAACAUCUAGAGGACUUAAGCUGGAAUAAAUCCUUAUGAUUACUUGGAGAUCCAGGAUAUGCUUUAGAGAAGUAUACUCCCAUCUCAAAUGCUAUACCAGGACCACAAGAAGCAUAUUACACUGUAAGAACAUGGAAUAUCAUUGAGAGCACAAUUGGGCUUCUAGAUUUAGAUGCCUACAUGUACUUUGAGCUCUUAUAGAGAACUAAAUGAAGGUCUAGCUGCUAGACAAACCCAUGUUGUUUAGUUGUGGAACUAAGAAAUUGAAACAUUUAUAAAUAAUAAUAUUGUUAAUAGGUCAAUGUUUUAAUUAUUUGUUUUUA